UUUGUCCUUCAACAGGAAAGAAAUAGAGUUCAUUCCCAGCUUGCAUACCUUGUGGUUUGAGCUGAAGAAUGUUACACUCUAGUCUAUAUUCAACUACUGGUUUAAAUUAUAGCCUUUAGAAAAUAAUCUAUCAUUCACUUUAAUUAAUAUCAACAAUCACAGAGUCAGUUGGAAAAAAACCCCACACAACAGAAAAUGCUAAUGCAAAAUUAAAAAAGUUUCUGUCCAUUUUUUUGUUCAUAAAAAACAUCAAAGAGUCUCAUCUAUUGGCAGCUUUGGUACUCUGUAACCUUAGGCUUCUUUCAUGUUGAUCCAAGGAAGGUUCACAACCAGUUUUUUUUAGUCGGUGGCCCAUGAGACACAUCUGGCCCCAUCAUUUCAUCUGUGGUCAGAAGAGACACAAAGUGCUCUGCUAGACUGUUUUACCACAAACUCUUUUUAGUACCUUAUUCCCCUGAGACAAAUCCUUGGGCCUGCCCUUCCUACCACUGUUUGGAGAUUCAUCCCUGUGGAAAAAGUAGUGGCUGAAGUUCCCCUCCAGCACUGGGCCAGAGAAGUCAGCUUUCAGGAUUUGGUCUCAGAUCCUGUUGGGUGCCUUUUCCAGGCCUUUUCCUGUUAAAAUUGGUGACUUCAAGACACAGGAUCUUCUCCUACAAGUGGAAUAUUCUUGUCCUCAUCUGAAAGGUCCAGAUGUCACCGAAAACAGGGUGGUAGGAAACAUAAAAAGCAAAAGAAGAUGUUUUCUUCUGCAGAUCUUAUGUGCAAGCACUUGAAUGCAGCUGAAAGGUUCAACAUGACAUAGAAAAGAACAAAUGUGCCCUCUGAGGAUUCAGUGGGCAGGUUUGUGAAUCUCCAGCUGAGAGUGUGUGUUGUGUUUGACUGCUAGGCUGGUGCCAGGGAUCAUUUGUAUUACUUAGAAACUUGUCUUCAUAUUUUCAGCUUGGAGUCUGUAUGAAGCCCUUGGGUCAACAAUGCAUCUCUUCUACCAAUGAUUUGCUGGAACAAACUGAGUAAAAUUAGGGCACAGUAUACCAAGAACUUGUGGUAAACGAUUUGGUUUUGACUCAUGAGGUAAAGAAAUUGUGAAGACAACAUUUUAUGAGUUAUAUUCCACCUGAACAGCAACAUUCAUUUCUGUUCUAUUAUUCCACCACACUACCAGCAGCUAUAUAAAGCUUCUCUUCAAAACACAACUCUGCAGCAUAAUUUACUGAAACAUAGCGCAUUUAUGGUAAUUGGCCACAAUGAAAAUAAUCUUUUUGCAAGUAUUAUUCUAUCUCUUAACAAUACACUGACUAUAUUGUGACUAUACAGUCAUGUCAAUACUGUGUCCCAUGCCCCCUAUCACUGAAAGAGUUGUUCACAGCAUAUUUCUUGCAUUUCUUUGUAUCUUCUUUUUCCUGAGGGUAUGAGGAUGAGAAAGGAGAAGUUUGCAUCUUCAGAUCUUAAAAAGAAUUUCUGCAGGAUCUGAUGCCUGCAGUUCCCAGCUCUGUGAUGCCCUGAGGCCCUGCAGAAUGGUAACAGUCUUGUUCACUCUUGGGAAGAUAACAGCUGCAGUGUCCAGUAUUGCUUGUCUGGGUUACUGUGUAGAGCUACAAGUUCAGUCAGAAAUUUGCUCUUAGUGUAUACUCAUCUUUCUAGAUUUGCUUUUUGAGUUUUUAGAGGCUGGUGGAGUAGAGGUUGACUGAGUUUCCUAAGUAAUCUGUUUUUUCAGAAGGUUCAAAAAUGAUAGCUGACAAUUUUGCUGCCCAGGAACUUUGUUCAUACAUUUUCAUUUUUUUCUUCAUGGUUUAUUGUUUAAAUUUUAUGAUUGUACAUUCAUUACAAUAAUUUUUGUGAACAUUCCUUUCUUUCUGCAUUGCCCUCUAAUCUCAUUCUCAAUGCCAGUAGACUGCACUUUUCCUCAAGAAGAAAAGUAGAAGAGGUAAAUGCAUGAGGUAGCUCAGUCCUACAACCCAUUGUUUCAUACUUUUAUGUCUCUAGCAGAAGAAUGGCCCCAUGCAGUUUGCUGGCAACUGGAAUCUCUGCUCAAGUGUCAGGAUUACAUCAUCUCCGUGGCAUCAGGAAAACUUUGGAAUAUGAUAGCAAGGGACAGGAAGGUUGUCUUACCUCUGUCUGAAGUGCUGCCAAAUGAAAAAAAAAACAAACAGUGUUGCAUACUCUUACAUUACUCAUAUAAUACAGAUUAUUCUAGUUCAGUACUUUGCUGAAUGAGGUCCUUUCUGAACUUCUACAAUUGCAGGUUUUCUGUGGGUGCUUUCUCUUGGCCUUGUCUCUGCAUUUGUCUUUCUUACACUUCAGUCCUGCUUAUGUACUUGAGGAAUACCUAAUGUUAACAAAUAAAAAGGGAGAUGUUGAUGGCUGCAGUUGAUUAGGCAUCAUCCGCUAGUUACUGAAGAUAAAGUUACUGUUUCUAGCAAAUACUCCAACUUUGAAAUGGAGGUUUGUCUUGAUUUAGUUUAUUCCUUAUGGUAUCAAAAUGUGGUGACAGCUUUAAAAAGAAAAAUAACAUAGUGCUUCAGGGAGCAAAACCAGAGUACAGCAUUUUUAAUGGUUUUAAUUAUAUUACAGCACUGUUGGUCUCCUUUUUUUAAGUAUUCACUCCUCAUAUUUUUCUUUUGUUAGUAGCCAGUUGACAAGGGGAAGCUCUUAUUCCCUCUUCAUAUUGUUACGUUCAGCUUUUUUAAUUCCAGUUGGAAACAUUUUGUUUAUCAGAACUAUAUGAAGAGUUGUUAAGUGGAUCCUCAUUAGCUUCAGAUUUUGAAAGACCCCUUUGGUUAAAGCAUAGCACAUCACUCCUCCUUUUCUAUGCUCCCACAUUGAUUGUACUGGUAGAAACUUUUUGCCUGUAUGCAGGGGAGAGAGAUGACAUCAAGAUUCAAGCAAGGAAACCCUGUGGAGUGAAACAUUUCUGUUUAUGAGCAGUGAUAACAACGAAACAGUUGAGCAACAGCCAGAACAGCCGUGCAUGCAUGGUCUGCAUUGCUGCCUUCAGGGCUUCCAUUGUCAAUGCCUGUACAAGAACUCUUCUACCCUGACCACCUUUGGGACAGGUGGCAUCUGCUGGCCUGAGACCCCGCCAUAAAUACAAGGCAUGGGGAAGUGGUUUAGACAGGACCCUGUUUGGGAUGAAGGGUCCACUUACAUGAAUUUCUGCACGGGGUUAUUCCUUGAAAGGAGAGCAGUGGUAUAAAAAUCACAUCUUCAAGGGAACAUUCUGAGCCUGUAUGAAACUUCCAGCCAGCUUCUGUUGGAACCUUCAAAAGGUCAUCUGAUGCUGCAGCCUUCAGAAACCUGCCAUGAGCUUCAGGCCCAAGGAAACCUUCAGUACAGCUGCCAGUCCUGACAAUGUAUCUAUGGCAGAGAAUUGAUAGGAAGAGGACCUUAGUUUUUUCACCUGAUUUUGGGUGAGAUCAAGCUAGAACCAAUGAAACCAAAGGAUGGGGAGAAUUAGUUUGGACUUUGCCAGGGAACUUGAUCAUUUUGCCACCUCUAGCAUGAAAAAUUAUUCUGUGGCUGAUAUACUGCCAAGAAAAUGCCAAAUGCAAGUUAUGCAUCAGGAUUUCUAGGCCAGGUCUUUAAAUGUUACCCAUCUAUCUCACCUUUAUUUUACACAUUUACUAUAGUUGAAUGCUUUAAAGGUAGAAGAAAUGAACAGUCAAUUGCAGGAAUAGGGGAAAAAAGUAAAAUAAAAAAGCUUAAUAUUUACAGCUGCUAAAUCUAUCCUUUUUUAUACCUCUAUUCCCUCAGACUAUUUUCUGGUUUGGAGCUCAAUAGUCAUAGGUGAUUUUAAAAUCUUCUUUAAGAAGUUUAAUCCUCAAGGAUGUAACAACAUACAGCAGAUUCAUACAAGGACAGUAAAAUCCAUGGGGUAGACUUCCAGGAAACUGGAGACAUGUCAUCACUGAAAGUUGACAUCAUUGACCUGACAGAUUUUAAGGGAUUUUCUUCUUUCAGUUGAACUUUCCCUAGUGCAAGGAAACAGACUGAAUUAUCUCUUGAGAUCCACCCUAUCCCUCCACUCUGUGAUCUUAUCUUGGAUUUCCUAGUGGCUUUGUUAUUGUUUUCUGCUGUGCCAAGUAAUGUAGCAACCUUUGUAAAAUUAAGCUUCUAUUUUAAUAAACAGACACCCUUAUGGGAACCCCAAAGACAGUAACAAGAGGUUUAAAAAGCAUAACCUAAAAAGAAAGGUUGAGAGAAUGGGGUUUGUUUUUCUGGAGGAGAAGAGACAAAGGGGGAUGUGAUACAUUUUCCAGAAUGCAAAGUCUGCUACAAAGAGGUCAGCAAAUAAAAUGGUCCCCUGUAGCUGUCAGGAAAAGGUCAACAGGAAUUUAGCUUAAUUUACAGGAAAGAAUAUUUGGGUUCCAUGUUACAAAGCAAAUUCCCAACUUUCAGAGUGAUGAAACACAGUCUGCUUAGGGAGGCUGUGGCUCUCCCCUCCGUUCGCCUCAAGAGCAGGUGAGAAUAACAUCUGUCGGGGGUCAUAUAUUCCUUAUUGCUGCAGCAGUGUGGUGGAUCAGAUGAAGCUGAGCCUCUUGCAGUCUUUUGUCUAUGAAAAAACCAGGAUCCAUGAGUGAAAUGCUACCACUGAUGACUCAGUGUCACACAGAGUGCGUCCCCCCCCGAAAGCCUGGUCCAACAGCUCCUCAAGUCAGCCACAAUGCCUGGAAAAACAAUGUCCUCUGGUAUCCUGGCUGGGGACCACCAGGAGUCCCUGGGAUGUAGAGUGCUGAGUCUAGCAGGGAAUUUUGAGGAAGUAUGGUAUAUGUUUCCUCUGUUCUCUCUCCUGAUGAGUGCAUCUGACCACUUUUAGAGAUGGGAUACUAAGCCAGACAAGGCUAGUUCCACUGGGUAUAGCUACACUUUAUUCUUACACUGUUUAUUUUCAGAACCCUGAAGAAGAACCACAGAAGAGCAAUACAAGAGUUUUAUCUUGUGGAUGUCUGAGAAAAGCUGGGUCCCCAUCUAUUCCUUCCUGGCAGGAAGAAGAAGGCAUGUCCUCAGCAGAGGCAGCUGUCAGGAACCUGUUUAAAAUGUCCUUCUAGGACUCAAAUCUGGGAAGUAAUAUGGUUUUUGAAAACAUUUAAAGCAUUUGAGCUCCCUUUGUAUGCACAGCCCCACCAGCUAAAACACCUUGACUCUCCAAGCUGCAAGAUGUGUUAAAGGCAAGUCCUUCCUCCACCCCAGCCUAGCCAAACCUUCACCUUAAUCCUGAAGCCACUUGGUGCUGAGAGCACAGAAGUUGUGGGGCAGCCUCUUCUAGCUCUCCAUUUAUACUGAUGGAAGAGAAAGUGGUUCCCUCCAGAGAGACCCCACAAGGAGGUGCUGUGAAACCCCAGGAGCCUGGGGAGCCCUCAGGAGGAUGCAUAUCCAAACCACAGCUCUCCCCUCUCCUGUCUUUGUACUGGCUGUGGGCACCGAGGUGGCAGGCAGCUUGCCAUUCUCCACAUGGACUUACUGCAGCCUCUGUUUUUCUUCUUUUCUUUUUUCCUUUUUAUUUUUUCCCUCUUUAUUUAUUAUUUUAUUUUAUUUUACUUUUCCUUGCCACAGGCUAAAACAUGGUCACAGGGAAGUCAGAGGCAAAGCUGUCAUCUGUUUCUUGGGGACCCAGAGUUUGUAUGCAGCCCAAUGUGUUAAGGUCAAGAUCCACACUCCAGAGAGAAGCAGAUGGUCUCCUGAGUGAUGUGUUUUCACUCACUGAGCAUGAAUAUGAAAAAGCCUUCUUAUUUUCCAAGCACAUGAAAGUCAGUAAUGUAGAACAGUGUCAGGGAAUCUCAAUAUGUGAAUAAACGUUUAUUUUGGUCUUUGUGCUCACUAUGGAUUAAAUAAACUGAGAUUAAAUGAUACCAGAAUAAUAUAUAUCAUUGUUUUUAUUGACUUGGCUCAAAUGUCAGAGCUGUGCCAAAAUACUGUUUCAAUUUGUGUAGAUUUACAGAAAUUCUGACCUUCAUAAUGAGCUAAACAAAAGCAAUUCUGGAGUCAGUAAAUGUUCACUUUUCAGAAGUAUCUAUGAAUUAUAAAUACCAAAUACUCUGUAUGAAUGCACUUAUGGUGUUGCAGAGCUGUACUGCUGAGUGAAUGGGGUGAAGACAGUUGCUGGAGGCUCUCUGUGUACAAAUUAUGUUGAAUCCUACACUCUUUAGCAAAGAGCCUUAGGCGAAGGCACCAGCAAAGGACCAUCCCCACCCUUGACAUUCCACAGGGCACAACACACCAUCUCCAAACCUGUUCCCCUCUCUAUACCUCCUUCACCGUCAGGAAGUUUGAAGGCCUGUGCCCUUCAUGGCCUUUCUUCCCCCACCCCUCACCCUGCAGAAAUGGGGGAACAGUGGGACAAGUCACCCUAUCACCUAACAUCUAGGAACCUGGACAGGUCAUUUCGUCCUGGCCAAGGGCAGAGUCACCUGGGUGGCUUCUCUGAGUUCAGGCUGCAUAGAGAGGCCAGUAUCUGCUGCUUCUUCCCAAACAGCUGUGUUUAAGAGGGCAGGGAGGAAUGUCAAAAUGUUUUUAAUAACCAACACAGCAUUUGGAGCAUUUAUUUCAAGUCUUAUUGAGCAAGUGGAAAGAGACCCAUGGAUUUCAGUGAGAUUUGUAUGAGACUUUGAAAUUGAUUGUAUAUCUAAAAGGGGUACAAAGCAGAAAAAUUAGGGAAAAUUAGGCUCUUAAGCAUUUUUUCCCCCUAAUCCUUCACCUGUA